rnacentral:lncRNA from 1 species
AGGAAAUAAAUAAAUAAAUUGCAGAAUAAUAAAUAAGACAGAUAGUUGUUAACCCAGUUCAGUGCAACGUCACCUACUCUGGGGGAUACCAAUCCAGGAAUGAAUCCACUAUAAUAGCUCUAGUUCAAAGCCCUCGAUCAACACCGGUACUUGACUUAUCACCUAUACACUACCCGUGCAAUCCUAUCUAAGAACCUCUUAGAUAAUGAGACUCCGUCCCAAAUUCCCUCUAACAACACGUACCAUAUUGCUGUCAAUAAUAAUAAUCAAGAUGGAGACACUCUCCUAGAAACUAGACCACACUCUUGCUUAAAAGCUUUUGAGUGAAUCACACACGCUAACUCCGUGCUUCAAAGCUUAGGAGUAGCUUACAAUUAACAACCAAAACACAGUCCUAAACAUGCAUCAAAUUGACACAAGAAAGGCUGACAAAAGACACAAACUCUAAACCCUAAAAACUCACACUUUG